rnacentral:rRNA from 1 species
UACGUAGGUGGCAAGCGUUAUCCGGAUUUACUGGGUGUAAAGGGCGUGUAGGCGGGGACGCAAGUCAGAUGUGAAAACCACGGGCUCAACCUGUGGCCUGCAUUUGAAACUGUGUUUCUUGAGUACUGGAGAGGCAGACGGAAUUCCUAGUGUAGCGGUGAAAUGCGUAGAUAUUAGGAGGAACUCCAGUGGCGAAGGCGGUCUGCUGGACAGCAUCUGACGCUGAGGCGCGAAAGCGUGGGGAGCAAACAGG